rnacentral:pre_miRNA from 1 species
CCUCAGUCAAAAAAAAAAAAGCAAACCCUAGGUUUCCGUGUCCGUCUUGUAUGAAAUUUUUUUAUAAUUCGUAUUUUUAUUAUUGUUAGAUGAUAAAACAUGAUUAAUACUUUGUGCGUGACUUGUUUAUUUUUAAUUCUUUUCAUAUUUUUUUUAAAUAAGACGGACGGUCAAACGUUGGGUACGGAAACCAGGGUUUGUCUUUUU